rnacentral:rRNA from 1 species
GCUUAUGGCCAUACCACCCUGUGUAUGCUCAAUCUCGUCUGAUCUCAAAAGCAGGGUUGGACAUGGUUAGUACUUGGAUGGUAGACCGUCUUGGAAUACCAGUGGCUGUAAGCU